AAUAGGAGAAUGACAAAUUAGAUUUUUCCUCCUAAUUUUUAGCUUUUUUCCCCUGAAAAAAUUCAAAUCCAACUAAAAAUCUUAAAAAUCAAGAGAAAAAAUAUGAUUUGUCAUUCUCGUAUU
rfam:Gossypium hirsutum cultivar TM-1 chromosome 19, whole genome shotgun sequence